GACGUAGGGUGCGAGCGUUGUCCGGAUUUAUUGGGCGUAAAGAGCUCGUAGGCGGCUCGUCGCGUCGACCGUGAAAACCUGUGGCUUAACUACAGGCUUGCGGUUGAUACGGGCGGGCUAGAGUUCGGUAGGGGAGACUGGAAUUCCUGGUGUAGCGGUGAAAUGCGCAGAUAUCAGGAGGAACACCGGUGGCGAAGGCGGGUCUCUGGGCCGAUACUGACGCUGAGGAGCGAAAGCGUGGGGAGCGAACAGGAUUAGAAACCCGAGUAGUCC
rnacentral:rRNA from 1 species